GUGAUUUGUAGGUUUUCCUCGGCGUAAAUCGUCGUUAUCCAUACAAGGAAGAUCGUCAUGGAUCAAGGACAUUGUGUGUAUCAUCUCGACGGCGCAAGCCGCCGGCAUCGCCAUGGAUUCAUUGCCGCCAACGAGCUCACACGCUGCAAUACAAAGAACUGGACGAACACGCUUCCCACCCGCCAUUAAAGAGUACCGCAUCGCUUCGUGAAUCUUCAAUGGUUCUCGAAGAAAAACCGCAGCAUCCAAAGCAUGAUUAACCGAAUUCCCUUUCUGAAUCAUAUACUCCUUGAAAUUGAAAGUAGGUUUUCCUUCUUCCUCCGUCAGAGUCU
rnacentral:misc_RNA from 1 species